AUUGAACGCUGGCGGAAUGCUUUACACAUGCAAGUCGAACGGUAGAGGGGGCAACCCCUCGAGAGUGGCGAACGGGUGAGUAAUAUAUCGGAACGUGCCCAGUCGUGGGGGAUAACGUAGCGAAAGUUACGCUAAUACCGCAUACGAUCUAAGGAUGAAAGCGGGGGAUCGCAAGACCUCGCGCGAUUGGAGCGGCCGAUAUCAGAUUAGGUAGUUGGUGGGGUAAAGGCUCACCAAGCCAACGGUCUGUAGCUGGUCUGAGAGGACGACCAGCCACACUGGAACAGAGACACGGUCCAGACGCCUACGGGAGGCAGCAGUGGGGAAUUUUGGAUAAUGGACGCAAGUCUGAUCCAGCCAUUCCGCGUGCAGGAUGAAGGCCCUCGGGUUGUAAACUGCUUUUGUACGGAACGAAAAGGUCUCUCUUAAUACGGGGGGCUCAUGACGGUACCGUAAGAAUAAGCACCGGCUAACUACGUGCCAGCCGCCGCCGUAA
rnacentral:rRNA from 1 species